rnacentral:rRNA from 1 species
UACAGAGGGUGCAAGCGUUAUUCGGAAUUACUGGGCGUAAAGCGCGUGUAGGCGGGAUAAUAAGUCAGGUGUGAAAGCCCGGGGCUCAACCUCGGAAUAGCAUUUGAAACUAUUGUCCUCGGAGUCUGGGAGAGGGAAGUAGAAUUCCAGGUGUAGAGGUGAAAUUCGUAGAUAUCUGGAGGAAUACCGGAGGCGAAGGCGGCUUCCUGGUCCAGUACUGACGCUGAGAACGCGAGAGCGUGGGU